rnacentral:misc_RNA from 1 species
CAUAUUAUCACAAAAAGCCAUGACCAACUUAAACAGAAUCAAAAUAAACUCU